GACGAACGCUGGCGGCGUGCUUAACACAUGCAAGUCGAACGGAAAGGCCCUGCUUUUGUGGGGGGCUCGAGUGGCGAACGGGUGAGUAACACGUGAGUAACCUGCCCUUGACUUUGGGAUAACUCCUGGAACCUGGGGGUAAUACCGGGUAGGAGCUCCUGCUGCAUGGUGGGGGUUGGAAAGUUUCGGCGGGUGGGGAUGGACGGGGGGGGUUUCAGCUCGUGGGUGGGGUAGUGGCUUACCAAGGCCUUGACGGGUAGCCGGGCUGGGAUGGGGGCCGGACAAACCGGGACGGGACUGAGGCCCAGCCUCCUACGGGAGGCAGCGGUGGGGAAUAGUGUACAAUGGGAUGGAGGCUGACGCAGCAACGCAGUGUGGGGGAUGAGAGCAUUGGGGUUGGAUUGCGCUUCCGUUUGUGACGAGGCGUGAGUGACGGUAAUGGGAAAAGAAGCACCGGCUAACUACGUG
rnacentral:rRNA from 1 species